rnacentral:rRNA from 1 species
UACGGGGGGGCAAGCGUUGUUCGGAUUCAUUGGGCGUAAAGGGCUCGUAGGUGGCCAACUAAGUCAGACGUGAAAUCCCUCGGCUUAACCGGGGAACUGCGUCUGAUACUGGAUGGCUAGAGAUUGGGAGAGGGAUGCGGAAUUCCAGGUGUAGCGGUGAAAUGCGUAGAUAUCUGGAGGAACACCGGUGGCGAAGGCGGCAUCCUGGACCAACACUGACGCUGAGGAGCGAAAGCCAGGGGAAGCAAAGCGGGG